AGAGUUUGAUCAUGGCUCAGGAUGAACGCUGGCGGCGUGCCUAAUACGUGCAAGUCGAGCGAACUGAUUAGAAGCUUGCUUCUAUGACGUUAGCGGCGGACGGGUGAGUAACACGUGGGCAACCUGCCUGUAAGACUGGGAUAACUUCGGGAAACCGAAGCUAAUACCGGAUAGGAUCUUCUCCUUCAUGGGAGAUGAUUGAAAGAUGGUUUCGGCUAUCACUUACAGAUGGGCCCGCGGUGCAUUAGCUAGUUGGUGAGGUAACGGCUCACCAAGGCAACGAUGCAUAGCCGACCUGAGAGGGUGAUCGGCCACACUGGGACUGAGACACGGCCCAGACUCCUACGGGAGGCAGCAGUAGGGAAUCUUCCGCAAUGGACGAAAGUCUGACGGAGCAACGCCGCGUGAGUGAUGAAGGCUUUCGGGUCGUAAAACUCUGUUGUUAGGGAAGAACAAGUACGAGAGUAACUGCUCGUACCUUGACGGUACCUAACCAGAAAGCCACGGCUAACUACGUGCCAGCAGCCGCGGUAAUACGUAGGUGGCAAGCGUUAUCCGGAAUUAUUGGGCGUAAAGCGCGCGCAGGCGGUUUCUUAAGUCUGAUGUG
rnacentral:rRNA from 1 species